rnacentral:rRNA from 1 species
GACGAACGCUGGCGGCGUGCCUAAUACAUGCAAGUAGGACGCAGUUGCGAACGGGGGAGUAACGCGUAGGUAACUACCUAUUAGAGGGGGAUAACUAUUGGAAACGAUAGGUAAUACCGCCUACUAGUAGAUGGACCUGAGUUGUAUUAGGUAGUAGGUAGGGUAAUGGGCUACCUAGGCAACGGUACAUAGCCGACCUGAGAAGGUGAUCGGCCACCCUGGGACUGGGACACGGCCCAGACUCCCACGGGGGGCAACAGUAAGGGAACUUCGGCAAUGGGGGGAACGCUGGCCGGGCAACGCCGCGUGAGUGAAGAAAGUUUUCGGAUCGGAAAGCUCUGUUGUUAAGGGAGCGGUACUUAACCAGAAAGGGACGGCUAACUACGUGCCAGCAGCCGCGGUAAUUC